UACGUAGGUGACAAGCGUUGUCCGGAUUUACUGGGCGUAAAGAGCGCGCAGGCGGUCGGAUCAGUCGAAUGUGAAAGCCCCCGGCUCAACUGGGGAGGGUCAUUCGAUACUGUCCGACUCGAAGGCAGGAGAGGGAAGCGGAAUUCCCGGUGUAGUGGUGAAAUGCGUAGAUAUCGGGAGGAACACCAGUGGCGAAGGCGGCUUCUGGCCUGUUCUUGACGCUGAGGCGCGAAAGCUAGGGGAGCGAACGGG
rnacentral:rRNA from 1 species